CCUACGGGAGGCAGCAGUGAGGAAUAUUGGUCAAUGGACGAGAGUCUGAACCAGCCAAGUAGCGUGCAGGAUGACUGCCCUAUGGGUUGUAAACUUCUUUUAUAUGGGGAUAAAACGUCCCACGUGUGGGAUUUUGUAUGUACCAUAUGAAUAAGGAUCGGCUAACUCCGUUCCAGCAGCCGCGGUAAUACGGAGGAUCCGAGCGUUAUCCGGAUUUAUUGGGUUUAAAGGGUGCGUAGGUGGUUUGUUAAGUUAGUGGUGAAAGUCCGGGGCUCAACAGUGGAAAUGCAGUUGAAACUGGAGGCCUAGAGAGCACACAGGGAUGCCGGAAUGUAUGGUGUAGCGGUGAAAUGCUUAGAGAUCAUGAAGAACUCCGAUCGCGAAGGCAAGUGUCCAGGGUGCAACUGACGCUGAGGCUCGAAAGUGCGGGUAGCAAACAGGAUUAGAUACCCGGGUAGUC
rnacentral:rRNA from 1 species